GGCAAUGAUGAAAGUUGUGAAUAGGAAGUGCCGUCCGAUGCGAUAACUGACGAUUGUAUUUUUAAUCACGGUUCUGAGU